rnacentral:rRNA from 1 species
UACGUAGGUGGCGAGCGUUGUCCGGAUUUACUGGGCGUAAAGAGCGCGCAGGCGGUCGUUCAAGUCGCGUGUGAAAGCCCCCGGCUCAACUGGGGAGGGUCACGCGAUACUGAUCGACUCGAAGGCAGGAGAGGGAAGUGGAAUUCCCGGUGUAGUGGUGAAAUGCGUAGAUAUCGGGAGGAACACCAGUGGCGAAGGCGCUGCUCUGGGCCGAUACUGACGCUGAGGAGCGAAAGCGUGGGGAGCAAACAGG